rnacentral:rRNA from 1 species
GUCUACAGCCAUGCCACCCUGAACAAGCCCGAUCCCAUCUGAUCUCAGAAGCUAAGCAGGGUGAGGCCUGGUUAGUACUUGCAUGGGAGACCACCUAGGAAGACCAGAUGCUGUAGGUG